AUUGAACGCUGGCGGCAGGCCUAACACAUGCCAGUCGAGCGAGCGGCGGACGGGUGAGUAAUGUCUGGGAAACUGCCUUAUGGAGGGGUAUAACUACUGGAAACGGUAGCUAAUACCGCAUACCAUCAGAUGUGCCCAUCUGGGAUUGGCUUGUAGGUGGGGUAACGGCGCACCUAGGCGACGAUCACUAGCUGGUCUGAGAGGAUGACGAGCGACACUGGAACUGGGACACGGUCCAGAAUCCUACGGGAGGCAGCAGUGGGGAAUAUUGGAGAAUGGGCGCAAGCCUGAUGCAGCAAUGCCGCGGCUAUGAAGAAGGCCGUCGGGGUGUAAAGUACUUUCAGCGGGUAGGCGUUACCCGCAGAAGAAGCACCGGCUAACUCCGUGCCAGCAGCCGCGGUAAUAC
rnacentral:rRNA from 1 species